GCGCAGGUAGUUCAGAGGUUGAGCCCCUGCCCGGUAAGCGGAAGCCCCGGGUUCGAUUCCCGGUGUGCA
rnacentral:tRNA from 1 species